UGCGUAGGCGGCUUAAUAAGUCAGUGGUGAAAGGCUGUGGCUUAACCAUGGAAUUGCCAUUGAUACUGUUGAGCUUGAAUCAGGUUGAGGUUGGCGGAAUGUGACAUGUAGCGGUGAAAUGCUUAGAUAUGUCAUGGAACACCGAUUGCGAAGGCAGCUGACUGGACCUGUAUUGACGCUGAGGCACGAAAGCGUGGGGAGCGAACAGGAUUAGAUACCCUGGUAGUCCACGCCCUAAACGAUGCUUACUCGUUGUUUGACACGCCGUCGAAAGAUGGCAGUUGAGUGACUUAGCGAAAGCGAUAAGUAAGCCACCUGGGGAGUACGACCGCAAGGUUGAA
rnacentral:rRNA from 1 species